CAGAAAAAUAGAAAAGCUGAAUGAUGAAAAGAAUCACCUGAGCAGGUAGAAAAAUAGCUGAUACUGUCUUACCAGCGCUGUGCAGAGAAAUGACCUGCAGUGAAAGGAGCGAACAACAAAAAAACAAACACAGACAAAGGGCCGAAGCAGUGCUGGGUGUAUAAAUAAAAAAGGAGAGAUUGACAUGCAAGCUACCUAAUGGGACUUGAUUGAUACUGAACCCCGAACUUCGACUGGCAGGCAGGUCUGCCUAUUAGGCAGAUAAUAAAACACCUCUCCGCGAAAACCCGCCUCCUCAGUUACAUCACAAAGGAAACACGCCUUCUAAGGGCAAAAGCUGCCUGUUUCCAAGCCCUCACAUUCAAACUGAAAACUGCGCGCCAAGGUUUUGCAGCAGAACAGAUUUGGAAUGAAAAAGGCGGUACACAGAUGGAUUGUCCGACGUGAUGGAGGAUGCAGUCAGAAUCUGUCUGCAAAAAAUUAAGUGAUUAGGUCUAUGAUUGCCUUAAAACAAUGCAGUACAGCUGCCGAGUUUGAAAAGAUGUCAAAGGAAGUGAUUGUCAAAAUAGACAGAGAAACUGGCAGUUCAGUAAUUUCACAGUAUCUACAGGACCAUUGGUUUCGAAAUGCAGACAUGUGGGCCAAUUUUGGACAGAGAGUUUACCACCAAGACAGUGAAACGAACAACCUUGUUGAGAGAUUUUUUUUCAGCAUGAAGUAUCAGUUUCUUCAUGGCUAUGCAAACAGACGAGUUGAUGAACUACUUCUACUACUUAAUACCAAGGUGGUCACUUACUAGAGGUAUCUGGAAGAUCUUCAUGGUGCUCAGAGGAUUUCUGAUUCCAAAACACAGGAUACUGCAGAAUCUGCAUUACGUAUGAAGAACAAAGGCCUUCAAAAUAAUUUUGUUUACAAAUCAGGUGGCCAUUGCACAGUGCCUUCAGAAGCAGAUAAAGCAAAAUGUUAUGCUGUGGAUUUAAUUAGCAUGAAAUGUGAAUGCGCCGUUUCUGAAAGGGGUAAUUUGUGCAAGCAUAUUGAGUUUGCAAAAAUGAUGUGCAAAGAACAGGGGAUUGAUAUUGAUGGAAUUCGAAAAUAAUUAGCCAGUUCACUAACUGAACAGCAUUGCUAUGAGUGGGAUGGAAAACAUUUAAUUGUACAUUGUGCUGGUAGUUUUGGAGUAGUACAUGUGCAAAACCAAGUGUACCUGUCUUGCCAAUAGAGAAAUAUGUGUCUGUCUAAGACUUUCUGAGUUAAUUGAUACACAGAACCCUAACCAAGAGGUAACUGACUGCUUUGUGAAUACCACAGCAAAUUGUCAAUCACACAAUGAACAGUUGUGUGUAAAGAAGAUGAUUUCAGACUUAUAGGAGUGGUGUGACAGCAGUGAUUAUAAGGAAUCUCCAGAGUUGAAUGCUGCAGUAAAACGUGCACACCAACUAGCAUUUGGACAGUAUAGCAUGGCCAGCAAUAAAAUAAAAAUGAUAAGGCUGCAUGCUUACAGAAAACGCAUUGAAAGAGCAAGAAGCUAUGCUAUAGACAUGCAUUCAUAUCAGCUCAAAGAACCCCUUAAUCGAGCUUUAUAUACCCAUAGACCUGAUUCCAAAUUCAAAGUCUGUUCCUUUAGAAAAAGAAUAAUUGGUAGCAGAGCAAAGAAUCAGAUACUAAAAUCGAGCUGAACGUGUGCUGUUAUGAGCCCGUGCCUUUAUUUUUGAAUUACAGAAUGCACACAAAAGUGGACUAAGUAUAGAGGUUAAUUACAACUGUUAAGGACCUCAAAGGUCUCUUCAAGUAAGAGUGAAAUAGCUAUUUAUAUGUAUAGUGGCAGCAUGUUAUCAAAAAUAAAAUAUAUGUUGCAUAGUUCUAAUUGCUGAUGAUUGUAUUCUGGCCAAGUUGGUCGAUAUUUGAUAUGGUAUGUCUCCCUUUUCUCUUAAUCAGAUUACUUAAAUAACACUUAAAUGUGCAUUAUUGUAACACUUUGUAAAUAGAAGUUGUAAAAAUAUGAUUUGUAGUAAAUAGAAUGUGCAAUCUUUAAGUAGCGAGUAGUGUAAAAGCAAAUUGUUAACAUAAAAAUCUAAGCCUGAACUGAAUUUCUUUCAAAGGGGGAACAUGUCAGGGUGUCAUUAGAGCUGAGAAGUGGGGAGGAGGGUUCUUAUGUACAGCACUUUUUUCCACAAUUGGGUCCAGUACUUUGUAUUGCUCUGUAUCAGUCUGUUGAAGCAUGUAUGUGCAGUUUUACAUUUUAAUACUGCUAAUAUUUAAAUCAUAAACAAAUAAAACAAGAAACUAUAAAUCUGAGAUGUUG